GUUUCCGUAGUGUAGUGGUUAUGACGCUCGCCUAACACGCGAGAGAACCGGUUCGAAACCGGGCAGAAACG